ensembl:lncRNA
UAUAAUCAUCUAGUGGGCUGGAUACUCUGGCUUCUUGACUAGCAUGUGCUUUCCCUACAGGCAGAUCUAAGUGGGAAGCCAAAUUAUCAUCAGAGGGCGGCUUGGUGAGCAUGGAAUCAGGCCAGGGGAGUUCGUUAUGAGAUUUGGCAUUCCUGAGCUUUUUAUUCUUUAUACCAAGCAGCGCUGAGAAGCACAGACUCGCUGACUGUGGCUGGCUGCCUCUGCUCUUGCUGUUCCCUCCGACUUUCCAUUGUUCCCUCGGGUGAGCUACGUGUAAAGCAGGACCCAGCUCAACCACCUCCUCCUCUGGAAAGCCUUGAUCUUCCCCCAGACAGAGGCGCUGUGGGGACCCCACCUGCCUCUCCCACCACUGCUUUAUCCCCACAGCCCAGGUUCUAAGCCCCGCCCAGUGGCAGCGUCCUCACCACCCAUCCUGCCCCUUCACGUGCGCAGGGCGUCUGCUGUGUGCACAGCACUGAGGGCCAGAGCCUCCAUGAGUGACUCGCUGGGAGAGGCGCUGUUCCUCCCCGUGACCCUGGGGUUGGAGGGCAGACGGGGAGCACCGUAGCAGAGACUUCUUACAAGUUUGCUCAACUCUGGGUCAGUCCUAUGGAGAACACAUGCGCAUUGGCUGGCUUCUUUGUCUGGUUUAGACAAUAUUUUUAAAGUUAGGCCUGUGGAGGGGAAUAGGGGUGUCUUAGGAAAUACAGUAAAACUUUUCAAAGCAAUUAAAUCUAGAGCUUCUUUGUUAGAUACUUUUGAUAAAAUGUUUAUUGAACGUCCCAUAAAUGGUGGUCUGAUAAUAAAAGAUCAUUUUUAUGUUUGUGGAAUUCAAGACUAAGUUGGUUUUUUUCCCUCUUGCUAUUCAUAUAUUUUAAUGAAGAGUUAAAUGCUAAUUAUUGAAUCUCCAUUUUCGUGAAGAUCUCUGUUACUCAUGCAGAUAACUGGCAAGUUCAAUAUUAAUGAAGCUUAGUUUCCCAUAGAUAAGGAAAUCUGGCAAUUAUAACUCUAUUUGCUAAAAUUUCAAAGGAGCCAGUUUUCCCUUGGGAAAGUCAUUUAUUUAUUCAUUCUAAUUUGGCAUUUAAAAUGCUGUUGUUUAUUGAAUCUUCCUCAGAGUCCUUGUGGCUUAGAAAAUCAUACUGCUAUAAAGGGAGUCCUUCUCUUUUGUUUGGUAUUUUUAGGUAACAAAAUCUUUGCCUAUAAAACUAUUUAUCUGUGCCCCCCUCCCCAUCAAGUCCUUCACUCCUUACUGUAUUUGAGAAGUUAAUCUCUCAAUAGCUAUUAUGUUAGACAAACGUGAGACAUUUUCAUAAUAUCUUCCUACUAAACGUUAAUUUCUAGCCAAAACUUCCUAGCGUGUGUCAUUUUGCUUUGCAAUUUUGUCUCCUCCUACCCCCUCAACUUCGUACUCUUACUUCCAGUUCUUCUAGGCCUUUCUCCCGGUGAAACUCUUCUCCCGAGUGGCUCCUCCAUGUCUAAGCGUUCUUAGUAAUGGUGGGUUACCCCUUAUCCUCCCAUCAGUACUAAGAACUCCUCUUCUUAAAUAAGUACUAUUUUCAUAUGUUGACAACACUGUCUUUCCCUUAAAGCCUCCCUGACCCGCCUCGUUUACCUUAUAUUUUCUUGCAGCCUCACUUGAUGUCUUAUCUCCUUUUCUAAUCACCAGCGCUCUUUGUGAAUACCACUUUCACAGAGCUGUAUUUAUUGCUGCUCUCG